rnacentral:lncRNA from 1 species
UUUAUUCUGUUAAUGCCAAUCGUUCACUACAAGCAGUUCUCUCUUGGAUGUUCUAUUCACUGUUUUCGUCUUCCCGCUGCAAGGGCCUCCGAGAGCGACGUUUUGUCGAGCAGGUGGUCGGCAUGUACGUCAGGAUCACAAAGGAGCCUGAUUACCGAAGGAGUUGGCAGGUGAGUGCAUAAGCUUGAUAACUAGAAGCUAGUGACGUUUGAUGGGAAUACAUGCAUGAUUAAUGCCUGUUUUGAGAUCAAACAAAAAGAAAAUGUGCACAAACCAAAACUUACGCCAAUUGUCUUCCCGUAGUUCUACGAUAAUGGGCUGAUGAAAGAAUCCAUUCACCAAUUUACAGUUCAAAUAAAUUCUACGGAGCAGAUAUUCUACAUUACAUGCUUGAUUUCCUCUGUUACACCAUAAGAGCUGUGAAAUUUCACAUCCGCAGACAGUUUACUAUUAUUUGUGGGUUGUGAACAAGAUGUUCCAGAGAGAGAGAGAGAGAGAGAGAGAGAGAUCAUUUUCCUCAUCCAUGUACUCCAGUUAUAUUUCUGUGGACAUUGAGAAGCUUAUCUCUAGUUUCACUUAGUUCCUUGAUGACAUCUCCCAUCUGCAUUCGCUCUCUUGGAUUUUCCUUUGAACAAGC